UGGGGAAUUUUGGACAAUGGGGCGAAANCCUGAUCCAGCAAUGCCGCGUGUGUGAAGAAGGCCUUCGGGUUGUAAAGCACUUUUGUCCGGAAAGAAAUCCUUGGCUCUAAUACAGUCGGGGGAUGACGGUACCGGAAGAAUAAGCACCGGCUAACUACGUGCCAGCAGCCGCGGUAAUACNUAGGGUGCAAGCGUUAACGGAAUUACUGGGCGUAAAGCGUGCGCAGGCGGUUUGCUAAGACCGAUGUGAAAUCCCCGGGCUCAACCUGGGAACUGCAUUGGUGACUGGGCAGGCUAGAGUAUGGCAGAGGGGGGUAGAAUUCCACGUGUAGCAGUGAAAUGCGUAGAGAUGUGGAGGAAUACCGAUGGCGAAGGCAGCCCCCUGGGCCAAAUACUGACGCUCAUGCACGAAAAGCGUGGGGGAGCAAAACAGGAUUAGAUACCCUGGUAGUCCACGCCCUAAAACGAUGUCAACUAGUUGUUGGGGAUUCAUUUCCUUAGUAACGUAGCUAACGCGUGAAGUUGACCGCCUGGGGAGUACGGUCGC
rnacentral:rRNA from 1 species